UUCCUUAUUAUUCUGGCAGAUACUGACUGAUUGCACAUACUCCAAGUCCUAUUAGCCUGGUGCCAAUGCACCAUCAAACUUGAAUUCUUUACUCCAAACCCCUUUUGUGGUUUCCUUUCUUCAGCAGCUGUUCAUCUAACAUGAAGUGUUUAUGGGUAUCACUGAUGAAUUUGCCUCUUUGGGGCAGGAAAAGGAAAAUAUUUGGCUGCAGCCUACAUCCAAUUAGGGAUCUGAAAGAGGGGAGCAGGGAGGAGGGGCUUCAGAUGGUUCCUAAACUGCCUUUGUUUCUACCUCGUUCCAUCAGUGGGAGCAGAACCAGGAGCACCCACUUGUUUCCAGUGCAGCAGAUAAUUCAGUUGUGCCACUGGUGAAUGAUGAUGAAGAGGAACCAAGAGAUAAUGAUGGGCCCACUGCUACCCUUACAAAUGUGCUGUACCAGGAUUGCUUCCUAGGGCAGUGGGAGCAGAACCAGCAGCACCCAGCUGGAAACCCACUUGUUUCCAGUGCAGCAGAUAAUUCAGUUGUGCUACUGACAAGUGAUGAUGAAGAGGAACCAAGACAGAAUGAUGGCACAUGGCCAGCAGUUACUGUAAGCUCUCCAAUUUGGAUAGACGACAACUCACAGGUAAGGAUGCACAUGUUGUCAUCCUUUCAGCUUUAUGGGAGGGCAAAGAGGACAGAGGGGGAUCUGCACAGCUCAGCUGGCUGAUGUGGGGUGCUACGGGCAGCUGGCUUGAGCACAGACCUUGCUUUGGAGCUCCACCUAGCACGUCCCUCCAAGUCACUUCUCACUGGUGUACACACAGGGAGGAACCCUUGCCAAGAUGGCACUGGAAGAUUUGUGGGUUCCUUAUUAUUCUGGCAGAUACUGACUGAUUGCACAU